UGAAUACGAGACGCUAAGGCGUCGAAGUAGUGUAUGUCAUACUUCCAAGAAAAGCUUGCACUGUCAUAGAUAAAAAACGCCUGUACCAUAACCGACACAGGUGGGUAGGUAGAGUAUACUAAGGGGCGCGAGAUAACUCUCUCUAAGGAACUCGGCAAAAUAACUCCGUAACUUCGGGAGAAGGAGUGCCUUAUUCUUAAGGUUGCAAUAACAAGAUCCAAGCAACUGUUUAUCAAAAACACAGGUCUCCGCUAAGUCGUAAGACGAUGUAUGGGGGCUGACGCCUGCCCAGUGCCAGAAGGUUAAAGAAGCUGGUUAGCAAUUGCGAAGCUGGUGACUGAAGCCCUGGUGAACGGCGGCCGUAACGAUAACGGUCCUAAGGUAGCGAAAUUCCUUGUCGGGUAAGUUCCGACCCGCACGAAAGGCGUAAUGAUUUGGAUACUGUCUCGGAGAGGGGCUCGGUGAAAUAGACUUGUCUGUGAAGAUGCGGACUACCUGCACCAGGACAGAAAGACCCUAUGAAGCUUUACUGUAACUUGAAAUUGAAAUUGGACUUUAUUCGCGCAGCAUAGGUGGGAGGCGUUGAUUAUAAUCUUGCGGGAUUAUUGGAGCCAUUAGUGAGAUACCACUCUUGUAAUGUUAGAUUUCUAACUUUGAAUCAUUAUCUGGUCAAAGGACAGUUUCAGGCGCGCAGUUUGACUGGGGCGGUCGCCUCCCAAACGGUAACGGAGGCGUACAAAGGUUUCCUCUGAACGGUUAGAAAUCGUAUCUAGAGUGUAAAGGCGUAAGGAAGCUUGACUGUGAGACCUACAAGUCGAGCAGGGACGAAAGUCGGUCUUAGUGAUCUGACGGUACUGAGUGGAAAGGCCGUCACUCAACGGAUAAAAGUUACUCUAGGAUAACAGGCUGAUCUCCCCCAAGAGUUCACAUCGACGGGGAGGUUUGGCACCUCGAUGUCGGCUCAUCGCAUCCUGGGGCGGUAGUACGUCCCAAGGGUUGGGCUGUUCGUCCAUGAAAGCGGUACGCGAGCUGGGUUCAGAACGUCGUGAGACAGUUCGGUCCAUAUCCGGUGUAGGCGUUAGAAUAUUGAGAGGAGCCUUCUUUAGUACGAGAGGACCGAGAAGGACAUACCUCUGGUGUACCAGUUAUCGUGCCAACGGUAAACGCUGGGCAGCUAUGUAUGGAGUAGAUAACCGCUGAAAGCAUCUAAGUGGGAAGCCCACCUCAAGAUAAG
rnacentral:rRNA from 1 species